rnacentral:rRNA from 1 species
CCUACGGGAGGCAGCAGUGGGGAAUAUUGGGCAAUGGAGGAAACUCUGACCCAGCAACGCCGCGUGAAUGAUGAAGGUCUUCGGAUUGUAAAGCUCUAUCAGCAGGGAAGAAAAUGACGGUACCUGAUUAGGAAGCCCCGGCUAACUACGUGCCAGCAGCCGCGGUAAUACGUAGGGGGCAAGCGUUAUCCGGAUUUACUGGGUGUGAAGGGAGCGUAGACGGUGAUGCAAGUCAGAAGUGAAAGCCCGGGGCUCAACUCCGGGACUGCUUUUGAAACUGUGUGACUGGAGUGCAGGAGAGGCAAGCGGAAUUACUGGUGUAGCGGUGAAAUGCGUAGAUAUUAGGAGGAACACCAGUGGCGAAGGCGGCUUACUGGACUGUAACUGACGUUGAGGCUCGAAAGCGUGGGGAGCAAACAGGAUUAGAUACCCCAGUAGUC